rnacentral:rRNA from 1 species
AAAGACUUAGUCCUAACCUUACCGUUAAUUUUUGCUAAAUAUAUACAUGCAAGUAUCCGCGCCCCAGUGUAAAUGCCCUUGACCUCUUAUUAAGAAAAAAGGAGUGGGUAUCAGGCACACCUAGACUGUAGCCCAAGACACCUUGCUCAGCCACACCCCCACGGGUACUCAGCAGUAAUUAACAUUAAGCAAUAAGUGAAAACUUGACUUAGUUAUAGCAACCCUAGGGUUGGUAAAUCUUGUGCCAGCCACCGCGGUCACACAAGAGACCCAAAUUAACUGUAUGCGGCGUAAAGAGUGGUAUCAUGUUAUCAUAAUAACUAAGAUCAAAGUGCAACUAAGCUGUCAUAAGCCAAAGAUGUAUCUAAGACCCCCUAACAGAUGAUCUUAGCAUCUCAGAUUAAUUUAACUCCACGAAAGCUAAGGCACAAACUGGGAUUAGAUACCCCACUAUGCUUAGCCCUAAAUCUUGAUGCUGCCCUAUACCAAAGCAUCCGCCCGAGAACUACGAGCACAAACGCUUAAAACUCUAAGGACUUGGCGGUGCCCUAAACCCACCUAGAGGAGCCUGUUCUAUAAUCGAUAACCCACGUUACACCCGACCGCCUCUUGCCAAAGCAGCCUACAUACCGCCGUCGCCAGCUCACCUUCCCUGAAAGUUCAAUAGUGAGCACAAUAGCCAAACCCGCUAAUAAGACAGGUCGAGGUAUAGCCCACGGGGCGGAAGAAAUGGGCUACAUUUUCUAAAAUAGAAAAUCCACGGAAGGGGGUAUGAAACUGGCCCCCCGAAGGCGGAUUUAGUAGUAAAGAGGGAUAAUACAAGCUCUCUUUAAGCUGGCCCUGGGGCACGUACAUACCGCCCGUCACCCUCCUCAUAAGCUCCAACCCCACAAUACAUAAUACAACUUAUAGCUGAAGAUGAGGUAAGUCGUAACAAGGUAAGUGUACCGGAAGGUGCACUUAGCAUAC